rnacentral:rRNA from 1 species
UACGUAGGGGCCGAGCGUUGUCCGGAGUUAUUGGGCGUAAAGCGCGCGCAGGCGGCCUCGCGCGCCCGACGUGAAAGCCCCCGGCUCAACUGGGGAGGGUCACUCGAUACUGAUCGACUCGAAGGCAGGAGAGGGUAGUGGAAUUCCCGGUGUAGCAGUGAAAUGCGUAGAGAUCGGGAGGAUCAUCUAAGGAGACGGCGGCCACCGAGACCUACACUGACACUGAGGCGCGAAAGCUAGGGGAGCAAACAGG